rnacentral:lncRNA from 1 species
GGACCCUUUCUGUGCCCAUCAUCUGGGUUGAGCCAGAUUCUGUGGUCACCUGGGGUACAAUUAUGAGCAUCUGGUGUCAGGGAAUCUUUGAGACCCUCGAGUACCAUCUUGUUAAAGAAGGAAGCCGGUCACCUUUGUACAUAAGACUUCAUUGGAGCACAAAAACAAGGUCAAAUUUACCAUCUCAUUCCCAUAGGAUCAUUGUUACUAUCUGAACCCUGAUGGCUGGUCAGCGCAUAGUAACCCAGUGGAGCUGGUGGUGACAGAAUUCUACAGAAAGCCCACCCUCUCAGUCUUGCCUAGUUCUGAAGAAGCCUCAGGAGGGAAAAUGGCUGUUCAAUGUGCUUCUUCACUGAGAUAUGAUAGGUUCAUUUUCACUAAGGAAGGAAAACAUAAGCUAUCCAGGACACUACAUACACAACUUGUACCUAAUGGGCAGUUCCAGGCCACAUUCCAUGUGGGUCCUGUGUCACUUAGCCAGAAAACAUGCAGAUGCUAUGGAAAUUACAAGAUCAAUCCAUUUGUCUAGUCAGAAUCCAGUGACCCCUGG